GUAAGAGUAUGAUUUAGAGGCUCAGAUCUGCAAAGAGAUCAGGACGAAAGAGAGGCGACCACGCCAUGGCUGCAAAAUCAUCAACCAUCUGGUGAUUUGCUAAGCCAAGAUACGGAUCUGAUAGUCUCCAUCACCGCCUCUAAUUUUAUGCAAAAUCAACCAACAUACAUGCAGAGAGUAACAGAGACAAAAAAGACCAGAUUAUUGGCAAGUUGAGGAAUAUAGUAGUAUAUGUAUAUUUGCCAUUUCAAUGAUCCAGUAAUUUCCCAGAAAUUAACAUGAAUCCAAGGGUUGUUGCUUCUUCUUUUUUGGGGAAAAAUCAUUGGCUAAACAAGAGAGGGGCAACCACCCUUGUUAACAAAAUUCCUAAACUCUCUGUUUUGCCUCUUUUUUUUGUUUUUGUUUUCUGGGAUAACUUUUUCUUUGCUGGAAAAGUUGUUUGGUUCUCAAUACACACUUUUUUUAACAAUAAUCUAAAAGACAUUCAUAACCUCUGCUUCAAAGUUCUUGAGAGAAAAGGAGCUUGAUACAUGGCUAGAUGCCAAGAAGUUCCCUUCACAUACAUCAAGCCUUUUCAAAGUUUUCUUCACAGGAUGGUGCAAGAACAAGAAAUCAUCGCGCCACAAGAACAACACCUCUCCAUCAUCCAAAACUUUCAACAGAUUAAUCAUUUCAUAGCACAACCAAUAAUUGUUGCAUUCAGGAGAAAUGUUUAUCACAAUCUGUUUAACCCAUGAAUCAGUAACUCCGUAUUCUUUCAUCACCCAUACCUCAAAAUGAGUAUCUGCAUUAUUAUCACACACACAUAAACAACGUCCAAACUUCGUAAAUUUGGACAAUUUUCCUUACUGUACCCUGGAGCAGCAGUUGGGAAUGAUUCAAACAACUCAUUCUCCAAAUUAAACGAACAUAUUAACUCAUUUUGAUUAGCAUCAGAAACCAACCAAUGAAGUUUUCCAUAUAGAUUCACCCUGUAUGCCCUGCAUCCAAAACAGAACAUGAUAUGUUCUACACUAUUUCUCCAAUACCCUUUCCCAAUUGUGUAAACUUGAGCUUCAGACUUGUAAUAACGAAAACCAUUAGUAUCAUCAUCGUGAAUCUCCUCUUGGUAAAUUCUUACCACUUUGUACUCAAACCUAACAGGAUCGAAACCAAAGCCAUAAGUAACUAAAUUAGGCCAUUUUCGUACCCCUUGUGGCUGAGGAAUGAUGAUAUAUUCUCUGGUUGUUGGAUUGAGGAUGUAAAUACUAUCGACAUCACCGAAAAAGUUAUUAAAACAAACGAAACCAUGAACCGAUCCAACGAGGAAAAAUCGAUCAAUAGGAAAGUAAAGUUGUAGAUCAAUGUCAUCAAUUGGAUCAUGAUCAAAGUUAUCGACUACGAAUUUCAAAAACUUUAAGGUGUUGGUCCUAGGAGUUGUCCUAUUAGAGUGGAAUUGGUUGAUGAUGAUGCUGGCUGGAGAUGCUGAACGUGACAGUUUUGUAAAUUCGGAAUCUAAGGUUAGAUUUAGAAAAGAUUUGGAGAGGGUUUUGACAUAUAGGAGUGUGGUAGGAGGUAAUGUAGAGAGAAUUUGUAACAAGAUUGGAGAUGGAAGAUCCAUCAGGGAUGUUGCUUCUUCACUCAUUUCUUACAAAAGUCUUAGCGCUGAUAUUUUGCUAUUUAUAGCAAGUGGCUCGGUGAGUUUGAUCAUAAAAAUUAUUCAUAUUUGUUUUCUAACUUUAUUUAAAAAUCACUAUUUGAUUAUGAUUUUUCAACUCUAAUCUUCUAUAUUUAACUAUAAUAUUCAAACAGUUUUCCGGUCAAACUUGGACAACACGCAUUCAGUAUUAAAGGUAAACAGUUAUGUUUUGGCAACAUGACAAGAGUAAAGCGCAAGCAUAUUUGAAAUUAAAAAACUAUUAAAUAUUGUCUUUAAUUUGACUAUCGAUUAAAUAAAAAGAGAAUGUUAGCAACUUAUUUGCAAGCAAAGCUCAUUUAUUAAUUUCCAAUUAGCUUAAGUUUCCAUCAAGAGUACGUUCAGGUAAGGGAAUGCACCAAGCUCAAAAAAAGGAUCUUUAGCCCCAUUUCUCGUUGUUUUUCUGAGUUCAUCGAUUAUUUUCAAUCUCAUUUCAUUCUCUUAGUAAUUUGAUCUAAAUAUCAUGUCUACGAUCUUUACCUUUCCAAAAAAUGCCUUUAUUCUACAUUAAUGGUAUAAUAAAAUAUAUCUCAUUUGAACUAAUAUAUACAAUUUUAAUAUGAUUUUUAUUAACGAAAAAGUAUAUGAUUACAUAAUUUUUAUUCUUUAUAUAUAUAUAUAUACUAGAUUCACUGCACGUGCGUNNNNNNNNNNNNNNNNNNNNNNNNNNNNNNNNNNNNNNNNNNNNNNNNNNNNNNNNNNNNNNNNNNNNNNNNNNNNNNNNNNNNNNNNNNNNNNNNNNNNAAGUAAUUGUGCACGAAUUAACAGUUUGUCCUCUUAGCUAUGUCGUGUCAUGAACUAUAUGUUCCCUUUUAUUAUUUGAAAUUCAGUGUACCCUGUAUUUGAAUAACUUUAUAUACACAAAAGUAAUGUCUUCUGUGGUAGCUGUCUGGUGUUUUUCAUAUCAUCUCCUCUUCCACCAAACCUAAGAAUUCGUCCAAUAUAAUUUUCAUUAGGAACUGUAUGUUCCCUUUUGUUUUUUCCUGUUUGAUUUCUUACAAUUUUGGUAUUAAUCAAAUCUCACCCAAUACUUUCUUGUAGGCAGUAUUUCUUGUGUAUGUCCCGGUGCAUCAAUCUAGUUGUUCAGUCAUGACCUGCACUUUUUUUGUUGGAAUAGAUAUUCCUCUAGAUAGUGCAAUGUAGAUUUUGCCAUGCGAGAAAUCAUGUUGUGGUAGGUAUACUCCUACAUUUGACAUCGUUUGACCUUUAGCUUUUUUUUAUCAUCAUUGCAAAAACAUAAACGUAUUGGAAAUUGUUUCCGAAUAAAUUUAAAAGGGUAUCCUUCAUUUUCGCGGGGGAAGGGGGGGGGUGAUAGUUGUAUUGUUGGAGUAAACACCUGGUUUGUAGCAUAUUGACAUGUUGUUUUUUCUGUAUGUAUUACAUUUUCGUCAGUGCCUCUACAAAUCAACCAUGUCCCAUUGCAUAAGCCAUUUGAGGGGUCCAAUUUUCUCAACAGCUUGAUGGGUGCAUUUUCUUUCAAAACUAACCUAAUGUAUAAAAUUAACAAAAUUAUCAAUUGUUAUGUAUAUGUAAUCGGGUAAUUCUUUUCUUCUCUUUCGUGCUAUGAAGUAUCACAAUAAGAUAAUUGUAAAAGUUAUGAUGAAUUAGACAACGUACCUAUGCGGCGGAGUCCAUUGGGCGUUAAGGUGUUUAGGUAUAAAUACAAUUCAUAUCUUUACUGAGGUCGAUUCUAUGUAGUCUUGCACACUACAUCCUAGUAAAUAUUUAGCCGCUUCAAAUAGUAUAGCUCGGGCAUGUUGUUCUCCACCACACACUUCAAGUCGUAAGCAGUAUCUGUUUAAAAAGGGGAGUCAUUUUAAAGUUAAAGUUAAUUUGUUUUCUAAUUAGUAAAUGUAGAAUCGAUUUUUUACUAAGUCUAACCUCAUUUCAUAUUCUACAUUCUCAUCGUUGCAAUUGUUACACGAUACAAUAUGUUCUAUAACUUUCACUUUUUUGCUGCACUUUUUGCAAGAUGAAUACCACAACUCAUCUUUAUUGAGUAUGUCUAUAAUUGUUGCUUUGAACUUGUACAAACAAUCCUACACAUCGCCAAUAUAUCAUAUUUGUGAUUAUAUUUUGGAUAUUAAAAUGGUUAUUAUUUUUAGAGAGUGAAAGUGUAGGAUAUAUAGUAUGUACUUGUGAAUCAGCUAUCAAUCAAUCCAUAAUAUAUACCAACGGAACUUCUAUGGCUCUUCCCAUUUCCUUACUUGAUGUUACCAUAAAAUCUUUAUUUUCGGCCUUUAUCAUUUCACGCCUGUAUUUUUGAUGAGAUUAGUUAAUUGUAUCACCCAUUUUGAGUGAGAUGUCCUCGGUGCAAAGGUUUUGAGAACUUAAAAAUUUUAGUAUGCAAUAACCCAUCAAUGAUAAUAGAACAAUUGUGUCCUGUUAUAGGAACUUUAAAAGUAACCUGUACAAUGCAAAAGUAUAGUAUGCACAUUAAUUGUGACAAUCGGGUUUAGAUAACAUUGCAGAACAUAUGUGUGAUUAAUGUAAUGUAUCAGGUCUGUGAAUUUUUGAAAUUGUGGAUUGACAAGACGCUACUCAUGGAAAUAAUAGAUAUUUCAAAAGUGCCUAGCGUGACAAGAGCUUGUUUCAACUUUGAAACAACAACUAUACUCAGUUUAUUAUAAAAACACAAAGUAGUCUGUCAAAUACUUUUAUAGAUUGAGAUUCUAACGUCACAUAAGUCCAGUAUAGGUUUAUCAUCUUUCAUCUUUUCUAGAAAAGCACCGUCAUUUUUUGCAAAAUCUUCUCAUAGAGUAACAGUUGUAUUCUCCAUGCUGGGGCGAAAUGUGAAUACUUCACCAUAUCUCUAUAGUGGUGGUAUUUUACGCAUCUUUAAAACAUACUGCUCAUUUGUAACAACUAUCUCCCGUCUCUUGCUAUAUUUUUUUCAAUGAGAGGAUUCAUUAAAACUAAAACGCAAAUCAAAUCUUAGAAUAGGUAAUGUAAAUUAGUGAUAGCGAUUGCGUAAUGGAGCAUGAAAUUAAAUAACAAUUUUUUUGGAUGAAUAGUUACCUAGAAUAGCACCAUUAGGUAAUUUAUCGACAUAAUCCAAUGAUACAAAACCAACAGAGAAUCUGUGUGUUGAAACCUCAAUGUCAGUCGCCUUUAUGAUUGUGUUAUCUGUAAAUGUCAAUUCAACUUCUUUAUGUACGAAAUAGUAGUUGGGGUUGACGCGUACUAAGCGUCUUUUAGCAAUGUAGUAACUCUUAUUUGGUCUCAAGGAGUCCUUCCAUGUUUCGAUAUGCUUAUUAAAUAGUGUUGCUUGGAUUUUUGUACCUAGUAUUGUGCAAAGGGGUGGGAGUAUAAGUACAAUAAACAUGAACGAUAAAAUAAUAAGGUAAGUAAAUAUGUAAAUGUUAGUACCUCUUCAUUAACUAAUAUUAUUGUUCUGAAAGUCCCUUUAUGCCUUGAAUUCUUGUAAGGUAUUAUUGAACCCCUUCAAAUCACUAAGACUCUCAUCACCGAAUUAACGGACUGUUUUUGUAACUUGUUUAUCGGUACAUUCCAUUUUGCUAGUUCAAUUUCAGUCGUCAUGUGGGCUGGAGCUUGAUGACUACCAUUGGGCGGCAAUGUUAAUUCUAGGCGUUAUUGUGUAUUAGUACCAUUGAUGAGGGCGACAAAUUGUCGAAAUCAACAUGAUUAGGCAGGGAUUUGAUGCAUAAAAGAGGGUAUCAUUAAGAUGUAAAGUGCGGCUAAACUAAGGUUAGAAGUAACAUAUAUAUGUAAAGUAUGUGUUUGAAAUUGCCAGGGUACUGUAUAUGAGCAGGUGAACCAAUAAUAGGCUGUAUAAGUAAUGCUUCACGUUGAGAAACAAAGUUGAUUAGUGGUGUAAAAUAUGUGUUUACAAUUUCCAGGGGACUGUAUGCAAGCAGGUGAACUAAUAAAUAUAUAUUUGCAUUAAUAAAAAUAUUUAUCUCAUAAAAUUAGCUAUUAAAUAAAUAAUAAAAAUUAAACUAAUACAAACUUAGACUGACGUUAUUACAAGACAUAUGAACUUUUCUUUGUCUAAAAUACUGAAAUAUUUAAGAAAUAGUAAAUAAGUUAAACAAAAGGGCAAUGUUUACAUAGUCUAACUAUUUUGAAGAAAACUUUCUAAGAGUCUAAAUCACAUAAGUAUCAUUGAUAAAUAAAGUCAUUCUUUUGUCUUGAGCAUUAAAACAAAUCGUGACAAUUUUCUAAAUUUUGGAAAAAGAUAUUCAGAAGCAUAUAUCUACAUCACAAGAGAAAUUGUUAACAAAAACAAAUGAAUUUAGACUAUAUCAUGUAACUUCAUAUAUUGAAACUGAACGUGACAGUUUUUGUAAAUUUCGGAAUCUAAGGUUAGAUUUAGAAAAGAUUUGGAGACGCUUUUGACGUAUAAGAGUGUGGUAGGAGGUAAUUUAGAUAGAAUUUGUAACAAGAUUGGAGAUGGAAGAUCCAUCAGGGAUGUUGCUUCUUCACUCAUUUCUUACAAAUCUUAGCACUAAUGUUUUGCUUUUUAAAGCGUUUAUUAUAGCAAAGUGGCUUGGUGAUUAAAUUGUUGUAUUUAAGUAUAUUCAAACAUAAGACCAUUAUUCAAUAGUAUGUUUUUUUAAUCAAUUCUACAAUUGUCGAGUUGGUCAAUACUUGUGAAAGAAUUUUCCGGUCAAACUUGUACAAGCGCAAGCAUAUUUGAAAUAAAGAGACUAUUAAAUUGUCAAUGUAUUAGCAACUUAAUUACAAGCAAAACUCAUUCAUUAAUGGAUGUUGAAUUGACUUAAAAUUUGAUCAAACAUAUUUUUAAGUCAAUUUUUAAUUUUUGAAAGUGUUUAACCAAAUAUUAAAAAAAAAAUUAAAAUAAGUUAUAACUAAAAGACUUGAAAGUUCUAUAAAGUUGGUUGUUUUCAACUAUUUUCCGUUUUUAAUAAAUUAUUGGUAUCUUACCUCUUUUAAAUGAAUCAUUUUUUAAUUUCUUGUGUAUGAUUAAUAACUGAACCAAACCCAACUAAAACCAUUAACACAAACCAAUAAACAUAUAAAUUUAACAACUAAUUUAAUUUUUAAUUUUAACCAAUAAUCGACCCAAAUUAAUCUGGGAACACCCCUGCCUAGUACCUACAGUCCUAAUUCUAAACAGAGAAACAGACAUAGGAAAACAAAGUUUUGGAUGAUUUAGAGGCUCAGAUCUGCAAAGAGAUCGGUCGAAAGAGAGGCGACCACGCCAUGGCUGCAAAAUCACCAGUUCUCAGGUGAUUUGCCUAGCCAAGAUACGGAUCGGAUAGUCUCCAUCACCGAUCCAGUUAGCCCAGAAUUCAAAGAAAUCAUCAUCACCGCCUCUAUUUUUAUGCAAAAUCAACCAACAUACAUGCAGAGAGUAACAGAGACAAAAAAAGACCAGAUUAUUGGCAAGUUGAGGGAAUAUAGUAGUAUAUGUAUAUUUGCCAUUUCAAUGAUCCAGUAAUUUCCCAGAAAUUAACAUGAAUCCAAGGGUUGUUGCUUCUUCUUUUUUUGGGAAAAAAGAAAUCAUUGGCUAAACAAGAGAGGGGCAACCACCCUUGUUAACAAAAUUCCUAAACUCUCUGUUUUGCCUCAAUUUUUUUGUUUUCUGGGCUAACUUUUUCUUUGCUGGAAAAGUUGUUUGGUUCUCAACCAAAUAACUUUCCACUUUUUCACUGUGAGUUUUCCUUGUU
rnacentral:lncRNA from 1 species